CCUACGGGAGGCAGCAGUGGGGAAUAUUGGACAAUGGGGGGAACCCUGAUCCAGCGACGCCGCGUGAGUGAAGAAGUAUUUCGGAUUGUAAAGUUCUUUUCUAAGGGAAGAAGAAAGUGACGGUACCUUAGGAAUAAGCCUCGGCUAACUACGUGCCAGCAGCCGCGGUAAUACGUAGGAGGCAAGCGUUAUCCGGAAUGACUGGGCGUAAAGGGUGCGUAGGUGGUUUGACAAGUUGGUAGCGUAACUCCGGGGCUCAACCUCGGCACUACUACCAAAACUGUUGGACUUGAGUGCAGGAGGGGCAAAUGGAAUUCCUAGUGUAGCGGUGGAAUGCGUAGAUAUUAGGAGGAACACCAGUGGCGAAGGCGAUUUGCUGGACUGUAACUGACACUGAGGCACGAAAGCGUGGGGAGCAAACAGGAUUAGAUACCCCGGUAGUC
rnacentral:rRNA from 1 species